rfam:Eucalyptus grandis cultivar BRASTZ1 unplaced genomic scaffold scaffold_2, whole genome shotgun sequence.
UCCCAUACCUGGAUGGGGUCGAUGGGUGAUCAAGAUGACCCAUGGCCUAGGUCGACGGCCUCCAUUGCACACUGGACAGUGUGUUGGCCUAAGGUCUUCUCCUUGUAGUGGAGCCUACGUCAUAAUAUGUGAUAGCAAGGGCCCCACAAAUAUGAGCUCAAA